rnacentral:rRNA from 1 species
ACUAACUAGGAUUCCCUUAGUAGCUGCGAGCGAACAGGGAAAAGCCCAGCACUAAAUCCUGCGGCCGGUCUACGGACGCUGGGAAAUGUAGUGUUUGGGAGUGUCCAUUAUCCCGAGAUUGUAUGGUGCGUUCAAGUCCUUCUUGAACGAGGCCAAUUACCCAUAGAGGGUGCCAGGCCCGUAGUGACCACUGUCGAUCGCGGGAGGACAUCUCUCUAGAGUCGGGUUGCUUGAGAGUGCAGCCCUAAGUGGGUGGUAAACUCCAUCUAAGGCUAAAUAUGACCACGAGACCGAUAGCGAACAAGUACCGUGAGGGAAAGUUGAAAAGAACUUUGAAGAGAGAGUUCAAUAGUACGUGAAACCGUUCAGGGGUAAACCUGAGAAACCCGAAAGAUCGAAUGGGAAGAUUCAGCGCGUUUCGGCGUGACGAGUGGCGUUCUGUUGAUGGGUCGGCUCGCAAGAGUCGGUUCGCUGGUUCGACGCCGUUGCGUUGGAAUGCGUGCACUUCUUCCCUAGUAGGACGUCGCGACCCGUUGGGUGUCGGUCUACGGCUCGCGGUGGAGCCCGUGCAUACGGCUUUACGGUCGUCUCAUGUGCGGACCCGUGAUGUUCCGGCCGACUCGCCCGACGGUAAGACAAAGACGGAGAGKCCGCAACCAUUGCGUGUUGCGUUCGGCUUGUUGCAAGCGCGAACGGUUCUUACCCGACGUUCGGACUUAGUGCCGGCGGCGGGCCCGUUCGGCUGCUGGUAGCAAUGUUCUCGAACAGACUCUGUAAGCGUCGGUCGGCGACGCUCUAGCUUUGGGUACUUUCAGGACCCGUCUUGAAACACGGACCAAGGAGUCUAGCAUGUGCGCGAGUCAUUGGGAUGAGCAAAACCUAAAGGCGAAAUGAAAGUGAAGGCGCCGCCUUGUGCGUGUGCCUAGGGAGGAUGGGUCGUACUUUGUUGCGGCCCCGCACUCCCGGGGCGUCUCGUUCUCAUUGCGAGAUGAGGCGCACCUAGAGCGUACACGCUGGGACCCGAAAGAUGGUGAACUAUGCCUGGUCAGGACGAAGUCAGGGGAAACCCUGAUGGAGGUCCGUAGCGAUUCUGACGUGCAAAUCGAUCGUCGGAACUGGGUAUAGGGGCGAAAGACUAAUCGAACCAUCUAGUAGCUGGUUCCCUCCGAAGUUUCCCUCAGGAUAGCUGGCGCUCGUUGUUGCGAGUCUCAUCCGGUAAAGCGAAUGAUUAGAGGCAUUGGGGUCGAAACGGCCUCAACCUAUUCUCAAACUUUAAAUGGGUGAGAUCUCCGGCUUGCUUGAGUAGUGAAGCCGCGAGAUUCGGAUCAGAG